GACGAACGCUGGCGGCGUGCUUAACACAUGCAAGUCGAACGAAGUGGCGAACGGGUGAGUAACGCGUAAUCAACCUGCCCUUCAGCGGGGGACAACAGUUGGAAACGACUGCUAAUACCGAAUACUGCAGUGGGGGAUUGCGUCUGCUUAGCUGGUUGGAGGGGUAACGGCCCACCAAGGCGAUGAUCAGUAGGCGGUCUGAGAGGAGGAACGGGCAAAUUGGGACUGAGAAACGGCCCAGACUCCUACGGGAGGCAGCAGUGGGGAAUCUUCCGCAAUGGACGAAAGUCUGACGGAGCAACGCCGGGGGAGUGAUGACGGCCUUCGGGUUGUAAAGCUCUGUUAAUCGGGACGCGGUACCGGAAUAGAAAGCCACGGCUAACUACGUGCCAGCAGCCGCGGUAAUAC
rnacentral:rRNA from 1 species